AACACGCCCUGCACGGCUGCACCACCGCCGCCCACACCCACCGUUCGCCGCAGCCCGCUGUCCAUUCUAAUCCACCUCGCCGUCUCCACUCCUGCCGAAGCGGCUCUCGGCCUGGGUCUUCGCUCUCUAGCGGCUGCUUGCAAGUGCGGCGGCGGCGGCGCAGCACCACGCCGCCCUCUUCCUCAACCUCUCUUCUAGGGGAGACGCACAGCGGCGGCAGCGGCAGAUGGAGCAGUACCACGACGUUAUCUCCACCAACUUAUUCCUAGGGAAGGCGCCCAUCGGCGGCGAUGGAACCCGGGAUGAUGGGGGCGCCGUCCGCACCGGAGCGACGUCGCGCCGCACAACUCGGUGUGGGGCAGCGGUGGUGCCCGCGAAGAAGACGCGGUCGGGGCGGAGGCUUGGACCAUGAUGAUGUCGCCGAUGCCAUCUCUACGACGGACUACACCACCACGGUGACUACGUGCAACGACCACGGGAUGAGCUCCAUCACGGUGAACUGCUCCGUGCUUUUUACUGAAUUUACCACCACAAAAAUUCCAAAGCAUCACUGAAUGGUGAUUUUACUAAACUUUACGACUACAAAAAUUCCAAAGCAUCAUUGGCUGAUGACAAAUGUGAUUCUUGGCAUGCAUGUACCGUACAAACUUACACUUACUGAUUGAAAGUGCAUGAGCUAUUUACUUUAUGUGGGCCAAUUAGUAUCUUCUAUUUGAAAGUUGGUCUGCAUAAACAUUGAAAUUUGUUUGGGGAAUUCUCUGUACUAUAUUGCACAUGUAUUUAUUUAAGUUUCCUGCCAUAAAAAAAAAUCCUAAUUGCACUUCCAAGAGGUGCCGCAUCAUGACAUAUUAUGGUGUUCCUGUACUAUAGUGUCUGUGAGCUGCCAAUGAUGGUACAAUGCUUAUGCUUCUGAGUUAUUAGUGCAAUAUGUAAGGAGCUAAAGACAUAGUUCCUUUUUGUUCUUAUGGUUAAAAUCGACUUUGUGAAUUUUCCGUUGUCCCGGGAAUACAUUGUUUUAUUCAUCAGAUGUGGCUUUGCCAUGCACCUAGAAGGGCAUCGAGGAGGGAUAAUUAGUGCAUGAAUUGUGCUGGUUUUGGAACAUCUCUUUGGUAAUAUUAAGGUGAAUACAUAAUUUAAGUAAUUCUUAUUAUGAUUACUCUGUUAAUUCUAUAGUAUGUACGACUUUGCCAUCUGUCUUUUUUCUGUAUAGUAGACUAUAGAUGAACUGUUGUCAGCCCCAUAAUAUCCAUCUGUGGUAAUGCUUCGCUUAGAUAGCUUUCUUGGUAAACAUAGCAUGUCUGUUUAUGGAGCUUAUUUGGGUGCUAAUUUUAGUUCACCCUCCAAAUUGUGUAUUGGUAGAGCUUUUUAUGACUUACCACAUUAUAACUCCACAUCCCUCCCUUGAGGGACUAUAUCUCUACAUCUCAUGUCUUGCUGUAAGAUGUAGUGUGAACCAGUCACCUUGAGAUUUCUAACCAUAGUUGAUGGUGUAAAUAUCUAUAUCAUAUUUAUGGGAAUUACUUUGACUCUAAUAUGAUAAGAUGGUAUCUUAUGGAAAGAACAAACACUCACUCAAGUAUUUUGGUAUCUGCAUUCAGAUUUACACAAGAUUUUGCUGGCUUCAGUUUAUUGAAUACCAUAGUUGAUGUUUCCUUUCUAGAACAGUCACUCCAAAGUAUUUAUUUUGGUAUUAGCAUUCAGUUUAUGCAACUCUGAUAUGCUUAGGUGGACUUAUAAUUCCUAAGACUGUAGCUGAUAUUAUCUUACUGAAAUAAGAUGGAAGAAGUGACCUAACACUAAUAAGUUUGAGCUGGUGUAGGUUUUUGUAAGAACGUAGUUGAUCGUGCCUUCCUAUUAUACGAGUUUGUUUUGUCCAGUAAGAUUUAAAAGAGAUAUGGAGAACCUCCACAUAUUUUUACCUGGCUAAACAACAGAUACUCAAUGAUGACUAAUAAUUUGCUCAAACAAAUUGUUUGUAAUUGAAUAUUCUCGUGAUCGCUUAUGGUGACUCUGGUGUGUUUGAUACGACGUUGACGCAGAGGAUCCCCAACCUCGCCAAGCAGGUGGACACUUUUACGAAGAUGGUUCAAGAUGGGACAAUUUCAGAGCAGCAACUCAGUCCCUCCGUGGCACUCAUGGCUAUCUCGGGCAGCGACUACUACGCAAGCGCCGGCAUGACUGGCCUGGCUUGGCUACCCCCAACGAUAUCAAUACUUAUAUCAAGAAGGUGUUGCGGCUAAUGUGGAGCAACUGCAGAAGCUUGGAGUGAAAAAGGUUCUUGUGAAGAACUUGCACCUUGUCGGCUGCACACCAUCGCAAACACGAACCAACAAUUACACGGCCUGCGAUGUCUUUGGAAAUUUUGGUGCAUCCAUCCAUAACAAUAACCUAAAACAAGUGAUGGCAGCAAAGAAAAAUGUCAACGUUGUCAACCUAUACACCACCUUCACUAAUAUUGUGGAUAAUACGCCGGGCCAAGGACAAGAGCUAUCCAAGCAAUUCAAGCGCAACUUGUCGCCGUGCUGUGAGAGUUUUGAUUCAAAGGGUUACUGCAGACAACAAAGCGAGUCAUCGGAGCUUCUUUACCGUGUGUUUGCGACAAGUCUAGCAAAUUUUUCUACUGGGGUGCCAUCAUAGAUUAAAAUAGCCCGCGAAAUAGCUGCGCUAUAGCUGCCCGGGAGCCUUGCCGCUAUGCUAUGGCUGCUGCCGCGAAAUCCUCCACAUAUCCCUAUAAAUGGCUCAACAAUCAACAAAUCCCUCCAGAA